GUGAGGUCACCAGGAUGAGGUCACAAAGGCAUUGAUGCCCCUUUGUCCUAUCAUGUGACCACUUGUCACACUUCCAUCAAACAGUACCUGCCCCUUAGGUGUGCUAGGGAAUAAAUGAAAUGCCUGGGACAUCAUCGUUAAGUGGCAUCUGAUGCAUAAGCAGUGCCCUAGGAAUGGGGUUGCCUGCCUUGGUCUCUAAAGGAUGGGUUCAAAAGGCAAGAGCAGCACACAAGAAGAUAGCUUCAAGCAGGAGAUAAAGCUUGGCCCAGGGCCCAAAGGGGAUACGACCCUUCAGGUUGGCCCUGACCUCUGGGUUGGAUUACCAGUGACACAAUGAACAUUUCAUUAUGAGGCCAUCCCUUGAGCAAACUGACAUGCUGAAAGCUGCCCUAUGGAGAGGCUCAUGUGGCAAGGAACAGAGGGUGGCUUCUGGCCAACACCCAGUGAGGAACUCAGGCCCUCAGUCAAACAGCCUGCAAGGAACUGAACCCUGCCAAUAACCCCAGGAGCCAUCCCGUGAGGCCGUUACUGCAAACAAGCUGAAAAUCCUGCUUUGUUUCUUUUGGACACAACAUGCUUUCCUUCAGCUUCAGUAGACGAUGAGGCCAGCACCACAUGGGCUAGAUGUACAUGAGAUGUGAGCAACCACACUUCCCCUCUGACGGGGACAGACAGCAUCACAGGACAUGAAGUUCUAAGAGGUUCAGUGACUUGUCUAAGAUUAAACAGCUAUGAAUGGAGAACUGGAGGCAAAUGCCUCAUCAUCUCUCACCUGGGCAACUGCAACAAUGAGCAGUUUGUGUCUGUGCCUGCAUCCAUCCUUCCAUCCUGUACUCCAGCAGCAGCCAGGGUGGUCUUUCAAAAAUGCAAAGCUGAUAAUGUUACUCCCCUGCUGUAAACCUUCCAGCGGUUUCCUAUUGCCUUCAGAAUAAAAUACGAAUCAUCUGGCCUCCAUCUAUCUCUCCAGGCUCAUCCUCUCUCAAUUUUCCAUAUCCUUCAGGCUGAGCUCUGAAACUUCUCCUGGCAGUUCAAGAGAGCGAUGGAGGGAAUGCUGGGGCACAUCUAAAUAAAGCCUCCAAGUGGGAGUUCCUGCUCAGCUAUGCAUGAGCUCUUUGUGACUUCAUCUCCCAGCCUACAACUUGUGAAAUAAGCACGACUUCACUCAGAGCACAGCCAGAAACAUACAAACUUUCCAAAAAUAUUUGAAUGUUGACAGCAG
rnacentral:lncRNA from 1 species